UGGUUGAAAAAUGACUAAUAUCAUUGGUUAAGCAAAUGUUAACUAAGAGAUUGGUAACUGACGCAGGUCUGACGCUCAACGUCAAGUACGUAACUCUGCUUCUCAAUUUUCUGACAAAGCCGCCAUCUUGGUGCUGCAGGAAAGCCGUUUGAGAUAUUGGUGGAAUUCAAACACUUUGUGAGAUGACAGAAUAUUGCUGAAGGAUCCUACAUGGAAGCUGGCUGAUUACACGGAGUGAUUCCUCUGGUGUGGUGUACCUCAGAGAAAUAAACACUGUUGCAAGAGCUGAGAAGAUGGCCAAGAUAUCCUUAUUGCUGGAUGGUAGCUCUGGUCGUAGUGGACCAUAUCUGCAAAUGCUUCUGAACAUUGACAGAAUUUCUAAAGAUGACUGAGAAUAUUACUGAAGGAUCCUACAUGGAAGCUGUCUGAUUACACUGAGUGAUUCCUCUGGUGUGGUGUACCUCAGAGAAAUAAACACUGUUGCAAGAGCUCAGAAGAUAUCCUUAUUGCUGGAUGGUUGCUCUCUGGUCGUACUUGAGCCCCCUGGACCAUGUCUGCAAAUGCUUCUGAACAUUGACAGAAUUUCUAAAGGAUCGCUGAGGACUCCCCCUCCAUGCGUGACAUCUUUGAGAAAUUUCCACGCUUUCUGGAGAUGCCAAGUUUGACUGGAACCAACUUUGCAUCCCUCGGCACUGACACUGAGAAGGUUUCAAGGACCCCACUACUAGGAGGCGAGAGUUUGACACGGCAGUGUCAUCACUGCCAUGGAUGACAAUGUAACCAUUCCUGUUGCUGAUUGCCUGACUUGCGCAGUGACAAGCUUUUCAUGCUCUACUGGGUGUGUAACUUGGCAUAUCCACCACAGUUUAACUCUGUUUUUGCCUCUUUUGAAUAUGUGUCCGAUAUAACCAUCUCAACCAAAAAGUGGGCCAAGGUACUGGAACAUUUCUCACUUCAAGUUGCUCUGUAGUCACUGGACAUUUUUUAAAACAUCUACGCAAACACCACCACUCCACACCAUGUGUAUUUUAAUUACUUCUGAUUCCACUGACAUGCAGACUACAUCCUAUGCAGAUUCAGGUAAUUUACCUGGUACUGGAGAAACAGCAUUGUAUGCCAUUCUAAGUGAUACUUGCCUCCUUGUUUUGCAAAAAUGUACUGUUCUUUGAAUAUAACUUAAAGUAAGAUCAUG